rnacentral:rRNA from 1 species
AUACGAAUGGAGCAAGCGUUGUUCGGAAUCACUGGGCGUAAAGCGUACGUAGGCGGAUUUUUAAGUCAGAAGUGAAAGCCCAGGGCUCAACCCUGGAACUGCUUUUGAAACUGGAAGUCUAGAGUCCCGGAGAGGUUAGGGGAAUUCCGAGUGUAGCAGUGAAAUGCGCAGAUAUUCGGAGGAACACCAGUGGCGUAGGCGCCUAACUGGACGGGAACUGACGCUGAGGUACGAAAGCGUGGGGAGCAAACGGGAUUAGAAACCCCAGUAGUCC